UCAGUUUCACUUCCAAUUAAAUAAGACGCCGCUUUGCGUUUACGCAACUUGUGUUAGCUGAGGCUAAUCCGCUACUUUGGAAACCACGCUAAUGUUGACGCCAAGGCUAACUGAGCGUAUCGAUAUGUUAGCUCGAUAACGGAGAGUUAACGUUAAGUCAACGUUACUCAACCGCCGACUGUAAACAAACAGUGCAGACCAACAUCAAACUGCAGAAUGACAUCAUGUGUGGCUUUAUUAAUCCCACCGUGGCUACACUGUCCGUCCAGGCAGGCUAAGUCGACACGGCGGCUGAGAUCAAGCUAGCAGACACUGUAACAUGGAUGAGUAUUUACAACAACAUGGAGGCGCCAUGAUUCCCCUUUGCACUGGGAAAGGCAAUGGAUGGAAGGACGAGCCAUAAAUCCAGCUUUAUACACUCGCUCAUUGCACUACAAGACUUUCUGCUCCGGCUUUGUCUGCACUUCACCUUCACAACUUGACGAGUUCUCAUCCUCACUAGUGAACAACGAAUGACUGCAACUAAUUUUAAAACAAUGGUACAUUGUAACUCCAAGUUCCAUAGAUAAACUAAUAAAAUCUCUUCCAGUGGUG